GCUCUCGGGGUGAUCCCGCCUCAGGCUCCUGCUCUCGGGGUGAUCCCGCCUCAGGCCCCCGCUCCCCGGGUGGUCCCGCCUCAGGCCCCCGCUCCGCGGGUGAUUCCACCUCAGGUCCUCCCUUCCCGGGUGAUUCCGCCUCAGGCUCCUGCUCUCGGGGUGAUUCUGCCUCAGGCCCCCGCGCCCCGGGUGGUCCCGCCUCAGGCCCCCGCGCCCCGGGUGAUCCCGCCUCAGGCCCCCGCNNNNNNNNNNNNNNNNNNNNNGGUGCCCAGCAAGCAGCUCUGCCCGAUCAGGCCCGAGACCCCGGCCUCUCUCCUGAGCUCUCCCCAGGCCGCCAUUGGCCCUGCUCAGCUCCUGUCUAUAGCCUGACUCUGCAGGAAUGGUGGCAAGACCAUCGUGCUCAGCAACGGUCAGCGGGAGAUCCACACAGCCCAGUUCAAGAGGAGGGAGUACCCCGAUGGCUCCACCAAGACCGUGUACCAUGACGGCCACCAGGAGACCAAGGACGCCUCCGGGAGGGUCAAGGUUAGGGAUCAGGCUGGAAACAUCAUCCUGGACAGGAAGCAGCUUCUCCUUCAAAACUAGCCUUACCCGUGACCUUCCAAUAUCACCUUGACCUUCCAACAUCACCUUGACCUUCCAACCUUGCCUGUGAACUUCCAACAUUGCUUGUGACCUUCCAAUUUAUGUGUAACCUUCCAAGUACAUUAUUUACUAAAAAAAAGAAACAACUAAUAUUUGUGGCCCUAAAUGGUGAAAAAUCAUGUAAAACUUGAGGACUACCCAAGUCAUCCAGAAAUUAUAAAGGAAGAGACAGCCUGAUCCCGGGCUCCUGGUUCGGAAAUGUGGCUGCAUCAACACUAGUCCAGCCAGAGAACAGGAAGCUCGCAGACAAUGACUCCAGGGCCCCGGCCAGACCCCUUCCUCUCUGCCCACCACAAGAACCAGCUCUACAUGUGACGGGCAGCCUUCCCUGGGCCCUGGGCGCCUCUGCCUCUGCCUGCAGCUGGCCCCUGGUCCUCUCCUCCUGAAUUACACCAGCUUAGCCUGACCAUCCCGAACAUUUUCCUCAGGGCACCAGUUCACGCCACUGCAGGAGCGCCCACGGGGAGCCUGACCCAGGGUCUGAGUGACCUGGCCUCAUGCCCGCCGCUGCGUGGGUGGUAAGCCACCUCCUGAAACUCUGCAUUUUAAAAUCUCACAGGCAAGGCAAUGAGAGUUGCCCCUUUUAUUGUUUUGUAGGCAGCCUAGAAAAUAAGACAGAAACUGGCACCUAACUGACUUUCACACUGAAAUAGAGAGCCCCAAAAUACAAGAAAGGAAUAAUUUCCCGAAAAUCUUCUGAUGAGAUGCUUGUAUGUGCCCAUGUCUUCAUGCGACAGAAGUGAAGUAUCAUGUUAGUGCCUGGGAUCAUUUCAGUCCUAAAGUCUAUGGUGCACACCCCACAGUAGCCUCAGUGGUUGGGUGAGGCUU
rnacentral:lncRNA from 1 species